AUCUGGUAAAGUCUUGCACAAGCAGUUGAUUUGUCCUUACAUUACUGUACUUACAUGUUAUCGUAUAUUCACUUCGAGGCAUUGUUGUGUUUUUUCAUGGCAUUGUGGCUGGUGGCGACCAAAUUUUCUCAAGCUAAGAGGUUGUUGGCGCAGUACGGGUUCUUGGUCUCCGUGAUCUCCAUAGUGACUUUGUUCAUAUACCUACUUGCAUCAUCAUCGUCUGGUAAUGCAGAAGGCGGCAAGAAGCAGCGCUAAUCAUUUGAGAAGACAACAACUGCGCGUCUGUUUUGCAACCUACGUACUCCAAAACUGUAUUUCCCUACUUUUGUUUAUGCAGGUUCUACAUACCCUACUGCACUACAAACUUUCAUCACAUUGUGAAUAUAAACCCACAUGUGAUGCUUCCCGUACCCAGAAAUGACCAAACUUCUACUGUUAUGCAAACACUAAUAAUAGUGUCUUCUCUACUAUUCUGCACAUACACCCACUAAUCUUUUCCGAACUUCA